GCGAGCGUAAUUCAAUGGUAGAAUACGAGCUUCCCAAGCUUGAUACGUGGGUUCGAUUCCCAUCGCUCGCUCCA
rnacentral:tRNA from 1 species